rnacentral:rRNA from 1 species
GGGGAAUAUUGGACAAUGGGCGCAAGCCUGAUCCAGCCAUACCGCGUGGGUGAAGAAGGCCUUCGGGUUGUAAAGCCCUUUUGUUGGGAAAGAAAAGCAUUCAGUUAAUACCCGAUUGUUCUGACGGUACCCAAAGAAUAAGCACCGGCUAACUUCGUGCCAGCAGCCGCGGUAAUACGAAGGGUGCAAGCGUUACUCGGAAUUACUGGGCGUAAAGCGUGCGUAGGUGGUUGUUUAAGUCUGUCGUGAAAGCCCUGGGCUUAACUUGGGUGCUGCAUUCCAAACUGGGUGUCUAGAGUGUUGGAGAGGAAAGUGGAAUUCCUAGUGUAGCGGUGAAAUGCGUAGAGAUUAGGAAGAACACCAGUGGCGAAGGCGACUUUCUGGACAAUAACUGACGCUGAGGCUCGAAAGCGUGGGGAGCAAACA